rnacentral:tRNA from 1 species
CCGUGCUCGGCGUGGCCGCGCCGGGGGUUUCCGGGGUGUCCGUGCCGGUCGUCGGGUCGGUGCCGGCGGUCGGCUCGCCGGGUGCGGU